rnacentral:rRNA from 1 species
AUUUUGAACUGCAUGGUUCGAAAUUGAAAGGCGGCUUCGGCUGUCACUUAUGGAUGGACCCGCGUCGCAUUAGCUAGUUGGUGAGGUAACGGCUCACCAAGGCAACGAUGCGUAGCCGACCUGAGAGGGUGAUCGGCCACACUGGGACUGAGACACGGCCCAGACUCCUACGGGAGGCAGCAGUAGGGAAUCUUCCGCAAUGGACGAAAGUCUGACGGAGCAACGCCGCGUGAGUGAUGAAGGCUUUCGGGUCGUAAAACUCUGUUGUUAGGGAAGAACAAGUGCUAGUUGAAUAAGCUGGCACCUUGACGGUACCUAACCAGAAAGCCACGGCUAACUACGUGCCAGCAGCCGCGGUAAUACGUAGGUGGCAAGCGUUAUCCGGAAUUAUUGGGCGUAAAGCGCGCGCAGGUGGUUUCUUAAGUCUGAUGUGAAAGCCCACGGCUCAACCGUGGAGGGUCAUUGGAAACUGGGAGACUUGAGUGCAGAAGAGGAAAGUGGAAUUCCAUGUGUAGCGGUGAAAUGCGUAGAGAUAUGGAGGAACACCAGUGGCGAAGGCGACUUUCUGGUCUGUAAC